rnacentral:snRNA from 1 species
GUACUUGCUUGGGCAGCACAUAUAUUAAAAUUGGAAUGAUACAACCCCUGUGCAAGGAUAACAUGCAAAUUCGUGAAGUGUUCCAUAUUUUA